GGGCAGCUAGCUCAACGGUUAGAGCGUUCGCUUGACGUGCGAAAGGUUACAGGUUCGAUUCCUGUGCUGCCCA
rnacentral:tRNA from 1 species